GAUGAAGAACGUAGCGAAAUGCGAUACUUGGUGUGAAUUGCAGAAUCCCGUGAACCAUCGAGUCUUUGAACGCAAGUUGCGCCCGAAGCCAUUAGGCCGAGGGCACGCCUGCCUGGGCGUCACACGUCGUUGCCCCCCCAUCUACUCCUUCGGGAUUGCGGGGGGCGGAUGAUGGCCUCCCGUGCGCCUCGCCGCGCGGUUGGCAUAAAUGCCAAGUCCUCGGCGACGCACGCCACGACAAUCGGUGGUUGCGAAACCUCGGUUGCCCGUCGUGUGCGGUCGUCGCGCAUCGAGGGCUCGAAAAAAUUGCCGGCUUCCGGCUCGGCUUUCAACGCGACCCCAGGUCAGGCGGGGUUACCCGCUGAAUUUAAGCAUAUCAAUAAGCGGAGGA
rnacentral:misc_RNA from 1 species